rnacentral:rRNA from 1 species
AGUGAACGCUGGCGGUAGGCCUAACACAUGCAAGUCGAACGGCAGCACAGGAGAGCUUGCUCUCUGGGUGGCGAGUGGCGGACGGGUGAGGAAUACAUCGGAAUCUACUUUUUCGUGGGGGAUAACGUAGGGAAACUUACGCUAAUACCGCAUACGACCUACGGGCGAAAGCAGGGGAUCUUCGGACCUUGCGCGAUUGAAUGAGCCGAUGUCGGGUUAGCUAGUUGGCGGGGUAAAGGCCCACCAAGGCGACGAUCCGUAGCUGGUCUGAGAGGAUGGUCAGCCACACUGGAACUGAGACACGGUCCAGACUCCUACGGGAGGCAGCAGUGGGGAAUAUUGGACAAUGGGCGCAAGCCUGAUCCAGCCAUACCGCGUGGGUGAAGAAGGCCUUCGGGUUGUAAAGCCCUUUUGUUGGGAAAGAAAUCCAGCUGGUUAAUACCCGGUUGGGAUGACGGUACCCAAAGAAUAAGCACCGGCUAACUUCGUGCCAGCAGCCGCCGUAA